AUGGACACCCCCAUCUCUAUUUUGGGCAACCCUACCCCCUCCUCCUCAUUUUUCGCGCCUCCACCUGCCUUCAACCGCCGCCAGCAUCGUUUUCAGCAUCGGCAAGCCAUGUGCUGCCACUUGGCGAGUCGCCAUGGGCCAGCCGCCGCCUGCGCAACCGCUUCCCUCCAUUCAUGUGCCUCCACGUGUACCCGCCACCUCACCCGCGCCCCUGCUCAGCUCCCGCUUCCACCGCGGCCCGCGGAGCCCGCGCGAGGCCCGCCCGGGCCCGGAACCGCGCCACCGCCCGCACCUGAAGCCUCCCGCUCGAUCCCGAUUUGGAUCAGGGAUUCCGUCGCCCGCAGCUCCCCUCGCACCUCGCCGACCCCGCCACCGCAGACCUCGUCGCCGUCGAGCUCCGGCGGAGGACCUCCCAGGCCGGACACUACCGGCCUGCUCCUCCUUCCCUGCCUGUCUCCUUCUCCUCUUUCCUCUCUCAUCUCACUCUGCCGCCAUGAACAGGGACCCCCAUGGCCGCCGAGAUCGAGCACCACGUCGACCCUGCCGUCAAGCCGUCGGACCUCAUUCACCUCAUGCGCGUCGCCGGCCUCCAUCCCCGCCGGACCCCGCAGUCCCGGAUCUCCCCCGCUUCCCCUUCUUCCGUUGCCGCAAGUCCAGCGCGGCCAUGUCCCGUUCCUGUUCGAGCCAAGGAGGACGAACGCCAACGCCCGCUCUGAUCAAACGUUGACCGUGCCUAGUCACGUGCCCUUCUUCCUCGCGGGCCACAAGCCACGGCCGGCCCAACUUCCCUCCAAGGCCCAGCGCCUGCACCAGCUGGGCUUGGCCCAUCGUGAGAUGUCCCCAGUCGUGCGCCCAGUGCACUGUGCAGCCCAGUCUGCCUCAGUUUUGGCCCGUGCACGUUAUUUUCCCUUGCUGUGA
rnacentral:rRNA from 1 species